rnacentral:rRNA from 1 species
CCUACGGGAGGCAGCAGUGGGGAAUAUUGGACAAUGGGCGGAAGCCUGAUCCAGCAACGCCGCGUGAGGGGUGACGGCCUUCGGGUUGUAAACCUCUUUCAGUACCGACGAAGCGCCGAUGAUGGUGGUGACGGUAGGUACAGAAGAAGCACCGGCCAACUACGUGCCAGCAGCCGCGGUAAUACGUAGGGUGCGAGCGUUGUCCGGAAUUAUUGGGCGUAAAGGGCUCGUAGGCGGUUUGUCGCGUCGGGAGUGAAAAUCCAGGGCUUAACUCUGGACUGGCUUUCGAUACGGGCAGACUAGAGGUAUGCAGGGGAGAACGGAAUUCCUGGUGUAGCGGUGAAAUGCGCAGAUAUCAGGAGGAACACCGGUGGCGAAGGCGGUUCUCUGGGCAUUACCUGACGCUGAGGAGCGAAAGUGUGGGGAGCGAACAGGAUUAGAUACCCUGGUAGUCCACACGUAACGUAGGUCGCGUAGUGUGGGUCGUACUCUAUGGUUCGUCGCGCNGCUACGCAUAGUCGCCCGCCGUCGGGUAGGUACGGCCGCGACGACGUAAACCGUACGAAACGGAAAGUAAGUACGGUCGUUGAGACGUUGCCGACGGCGACGACGAGGGAGGAGG